rnacentral:rRNA from 1 species
GACGAACCGUGCGAACGUUGUUCGGAAUCACUGGGCUUAACGGGCGCGUAGGCGGGCGGCCAAGUCGGAGGUGAAAGCCUGCAGCUCAACUGCAGAAGUGCCCCCGAUACUGGCCAUCUUGAGGGAGGUAGGGGCGUGCGGAACUUCCGGUGGAGCGGUGAAAUGCGUAGAUAUCGGAAGGAACACCGGUGGCGAAAGCGGCGCGCUGGACCUCUUCUGACGCUGAGGCGCGAAAGCCAGGGGAGCGAACGGG